rnacentral:rRNA from 1 species
AUGCCGUCAGGAGGAAGCCGCCGUCCGUGGUGCCAUACCGCUGCUGGGGUGCUGCGCACGCUUUGUUCCCCACAGCCCCUCCCUCAUCCUCGGUCGUCACCGCCGCUGCCUGCUACUCCCCUCCACCACCGUUGCUGCUUCUGGGUCGAAUCUGGCGUUGGUGGGUCGGAGCUCGAGCUAGAGGCCGAGAUGGGGAAGGUCAAAAAAGGAGACCGGAUGGAGGUGCUCGAGGCCGAGGAAGCUGGAGAUGCACAACUAGCUUCACUGGGCAUCCGGUGGUUGGAGCACGGGGCAACGCUCCAGUUGCGAUGGGGUGGAGCUACGCAGGAGGGGAAGGAGGCUCGCGACAGGGAGCCGGGCCAGGGAGGAGGCAAAGUUUUUCCAUGGUUGUAA